rnacentral:rRNA from 1 species
CAAAUGCGCAGUAUAAGGGCUUAUUUAGUAUUAUGGUAGUUGGUUAUGUUAAAAGCUAACCAAGCCUUAGAUGCUUAGCAGGCUUUAACGAGUGAUCUGCCACAACGGGCUUGAAAUAGUGACCUGAACAUUUAUGGCAGCAGUAAAGAAUCUUGGGCAAUGCAUUCAAGUGUGACCCAGCAAGUCUCCGUGGAUGAUGAAGAUAAUUAAAUUAUAUUGUAAAAAUUCUAUCUUUUUAUAUUUAUAAUGAAAUAUAAAAAGGAAAGCUACAGGCUAAAUUCGUGCCAGCAGCCGCGGUAAUACGGAUUGUGCAAGUCUUUGACCUCGUGACUAGGUGUAAAAGGCCACAUAGGAGGUUAUAUAAGUUAUUGAGUAAAUACAGGGUAUAAACCUUGGAAUCUCAAUAAAACUUUAUAACUAGAAUAUAAAGGGGUUUAAGAUAUCUUCUAAGUAAAGGUGAAAUUUGUAGAAAUAGAAGGG